rnacentral:tRNA from 1 species
UGGCCCGUCGUCUAACGGCAAGACACCGGUCUUUGGAACCGGCGAUGGUGGUUCGAGUCCACCCGGGCCAA